GUAAGUAGAUUCUUUUAUCCUAAACCUUUUGUGUUUGCUUUGAGCUAUAUCUAUCGAAUUUGUCAUUAAGAUUGGUUCUUUAAUGAAUGUGGUUGUAGAUACCAAGCUUUUGAAUUGAUCCAUGCGAGAUGGGCUAUGUUAGGAGCAGCUGGUUUCAUCAUUCCUGAAGCUUUAAACAAAUAUGGCGCUAACUGUGGCCCUGAAGCUGUCUGGUUUAAG
rnacentral:sRNA from 1 species